UAUAUUUUUUUAACCCAGAAGCUUUAGGAAAAAAAAAUCAAAGUAUAUUUUAGCACAAUCUGUAGUAUCCCAAUGUACUUCUGUUGAAUACUGUUCCUUCUAGCAUGGCGUUAGGGGGGAGGUGACAGCCCCUUCUCCCAUAUUUCAACUCCACCAAAUUCUAACUCCCAUAACUUGACAAGACCUUCUCACCUGUUGUCAAAGAAAUUUUUUGUAAGACCUAAAUAUGGAUGUCAUUUACCUUCUUCUCUUAAAGAAAACAGUUGGUCACAGUUACUUGCAUUUGCUACAUGCAAUGGGAGAGAAGCUGUGGGGUUACACAGUGAAUGUCUCCAGAGAAGCAGGAGGGAGAAGUCAAGUGUGUGAGCUUCACAUUUCAGUUUCCUGCAUUGUACCUGAAAGUACAAAGCUUGAGGAUACCUGUUGCUCUUGAGCCACUUUUCAGAAGCACAAGGAUUACCCCCAGAGAAGAAAGGGAUACCCUGCUGUGUCUGGUAAUCUGCAAUUAGAAAACGAUCCCAAGGGGGACUAUUAGCAGCUGGUAUAGUUUAGAGCUGUCCAGACAAGCACUGAAUUAGCUGGAGAAUCUGGAACCACAACUAGCUGCUUGACAAGCCUCUCACUCAUCCUAUCUUGCAAACAGCAAAAUCUGCAUACAGCAGAUUUUGAGCUACUGUCUGAUGAUACAUCGGCAUGUGCUAUGGUGGAACAGGUCAGUUCUGCUCCACGGUGGGUGAAAGCAUUUGUUUAUUUAGAUAUGGAAAGCAUGGGAAUGUGACCCCAUUCAAGACAAAUGUCUUGGGUGUUGUGUGCUGGGUAUUGUAAUACAAUUGUAAAAUGUUUUGUCUUUCUCCUCUUAAAUUGGCUUAUACUUGCCCUUUCAGUAAUACACACAAAAUUAGAUCUAAUUUGAAAAUAGAUUAUUUCUGGAACAGCAGAAUUUAAUUUUGCAACUGGAGCAUAAUGGGUCCCUGGGUAAGUAGGAGCACAAGACUAACAACAGGGAGAGCCAGGAGGGUUUGGUGGGAAGUCCAGUGGGUUGGGGAAUGAUGGAUUUCAGGGAACUAAGUGGGCAAAAGGAAGGGGAGGAAUGUCCAUAGAGGUUUUGAGGAGGUGGGAAGACUGGAGGCGGAGGAGAUGGGACAGAAGGUAGAAAUGUUAUGGAUACUUUUGUUGGGAAAAAGCAAUGGGGAGGAUUCAGUGGGGCAUUUCAUGGGGAAAGGGACUGAGAGUAGUCUUUCUGGUCAUCAACAUCCCGCUAACCUGACUACAGGAUAACCAAAUGUGAGGGAUUUAAGAUGAUGGCAUAGCACUCUGUUAGGUCUCCUAAUUGGCAUAUGAAAUGCAUUUCAGGUAAUACCAUGGAAAUUACAGACUCUUCAUAGUUAAUUUCUUGUUGAUACUAAGCAACAUUUUUGAGAAAUCUGAAAUUUGUCCCACCAGCUGAACCAAUUUCAGCUUUCAACAUUUGGAAAAGUUGUCAAUUUUUGGAAUAGCUUUUUGCCAUUUUUGCUAAUUAUCUUCAGAUCAAAAUAUCCUCCUAAUUGCUGUUGUCAUGAACAAUGCAACACUGCUACUCACAAUGAUAGCUAGUCUGUAUCUUUAAACAAAAUUCCUCCAGGCCACUUAAUCAACAUAUCUGUUUCAAGUAAACAAUGGUACCAUUUCCUGAACAAGAAAAUAAGACGUUUUUGGAAAACUUAGUUGUGUAAUAAAAAGAUCCUCUAUUUCUCUGCA
ensembl:lncRNA